GCUGGCGUAGCUCAACUGGCAGAGCAGAUGACCUGUAAUCAUCAGGUUGGGGGUUCAAGUCCCUCCGCCAGCUCCA
rnacentral:tRNA from 1 species